rnacentral:rRNA from 1 species
CAGUCGCCGCGGUAAUACGUAGGGUGCAAGCGUUAAUCGGAAUUACUGGGCGUAAAGCGUGCGCAGGCGGUUAUAUAAGACAGAUGUGAAAUCCCCGGGCUCAACCUGGGAACUGAAUUUGUGACUGUAUAGCUAGAGUACGGCAGAGGGGGAUGGAAUUCCGCGUGUAGCAGUGAAAUGCGUAGAUAUGCGGAGGAACACCGAUGGCGAAGGCAAUCCCCUGGGCCUGUACUGACGCUCAUGCACGAAAGCGUGGGGAGCAAACAGGAUUAGAUACCCGAGUAGUCCCUGUCUCUUAUAC